UCAGUACGUAAGGCGGAUUUAGGGGAAUCCCCAGGACCCCGGGCUGUCGAUUCACUAGACGUGUCGAUCGUUUCUUGGAUGCGAUGUUAAGGUCAGGGCGACCCUUGAAACUGGUUUUAUAUUGCGCAGUGAGUAUAAAGAACGUCGAGACACAAAUACAUUGAUCGCACGUCCUAACGGGACAUCUAACAAUUGACUGAAUCGGGAUAUAUUUAAAAGGACCUGAUCGAGCAUUAGGUAUAUUUCUCUUCAGCGGAGAAGGCGAUAUAGUUCCGCGAACCGUCCGUGUGACCUAGUGAGGUUUAGAAGCAGCUGAUAAGCCAUUGGCCGGGUUGAACCUUACUAUUGUUGAUGGAAGUGUAUAACGACUAAGCAUAUGUGAACGGCACUGUGAAUGGCAGCCUUGUCGCCCGCUCUUACAACUGCACCGACUCCAUUAUUCACGCAUGAAUGGCGUCUCGGGCUGAGAGAAAAAAGCCACUGGCGAUAGGCAAAGCAGGUUCAGGACAAAAAACAAAUCAAACAGAACACGGGGCGGGACGAGGAAGGGAGAUAACCGUUGACGGGAUUAAAUCUGGACCCGGCGGUGAACCAACUAAGGGAGCUACCACAGUGACAAACAGAGGUCCUGCUACAGAUACCCUCAGAACUGAGGGAUCACAGUCAGACGCUAAGUCGGAUUCGACAUUGUCUAACAAAGAUACCACAGUGACAAACAGAGGUCCUGCUACAGAUACCCUCAGAACUGAGGGAUUACAGUCAGACGCUAAGUCGGAUUCGACAUUGUCUAACAAAGAUACCACAGUGACAAACAGAGGUCCCGCUACAGAUACGCUCAGAACUGAGGGAUCACAGUCAGACGCUAAGUCGGAUUCGACAUUGUCUAACAAAGAUACCACAGUGACAAACAGAGGUCCUGCUACAGAUACCCUCAGAACUGAAGGAUCACAGUCAGACGCUAAGUCGGAUUCGACAUUGUCUAACAAAGAUACCACAGUGACAAACAGAGGUCCUGCUACAGAUACCCUCAGAACUGAGGGAUCACAGUCAGACGCUAAGUCGGAUUCGACAUUGUCUAACAAAGAUACCACAGUGACAAACAGAAGUCCUGCUGCAGAUACCCUCAGAACUGAGGGAUCACAAUCAGACGCUAAGUCGGAUUCGACAUUGUCUAACAAAGAUACCAAAGUGACAAACAGAGGUCCUGCUACAGAUACCCUCAGAACUGAGGGAUUACAGUCAGACGCUAAGUCGGAUUCGACAUUGUCUAACAAAGAUACCACAGUGACAAACAGAGGUCCUGCUACAGAUACCCUCAGAACUGAGGGAUCACAGUCAGACGCUAAGUCGGAUUCGACAUUGUCUAACAAAGAUACCACAGUGACAAACAGAAGUCCUGCUGCAGAUACCCUCAGAACUGAGGGAUCACAGUCAGACGCUAAGUCGGAUUCGACAUUGUCUAACAAAGAUACCACAGUGACAAACAGAAGUCCUGCUGCAGAUACCCUCAGAACUGAGGGAUCACAGUCAGACGCUAAGUCGGAUUCGACAUUGUCUAACAAAGAUACCACAGUGACAAACAGAAGUCCUGCUGCAGAUACCCUCAGAACUGAGGGAUCACAGUCAGACGCUAAGUCGGAUUCGACAUUGUCUAACAAAGAUACCACAGUGACAAACAGAAGUCCUGCUGCAGAUACGCUCAGAACUGAGGGAUCACAGUCAGACGCUAAGUCGGAUUCGACAUUGUCUAACAAAGAUACCACAGUGACAAACAGAGGUCCUGCUACAGAUACCCUCAGAACUGAGGGAUCACAGUCAGACGCUAAGUCGGAUUCGACAUUGUCUAACAAAGAUACCACAGUGACAAACAGAGGUCCUGCUACAGAUACCCUCAGAACUGAGGGAUCACAGUCAGACGCUAAGUCGGAUUCGACAUUGUCUAACAAAGAUACCACAGUGACAAACAGAAGUCCUGCUGCAGAUACCCUCAGAACUGAGGGAUCACAGUCAGACGCUAAGUCGGAUUCGACAUUGUCUAACAAAGAUACCACAGUGACAAACAGAGGUCCUGCUACAGAUACCCUCAGAACUGAGGGAUCACAGUCAGACGCUAAGUCGGAUUCGACAUUGUCUAACAAAGAUACCACAGUGACAAACAGAAGUCCUGCUGCAGAUACCCUCAGAACUGAGGGAUCACAAUCAGACGCUAAGUCGGAUUCGACAUUGUCUAACAAAGAUACCAAAGUGACAAACAGAGGUCCUGCUACAGAUACCCUCAGAACUGAGGGAUUACAGUCAGACGCUAAGUCGGAUUCGACAUUGUCUAACAAAGAUACCACAGUGACAAACAGAGGUCCUGCUACAGAUACCCUCAGAACUGAGGGAUCACAGUCAGACGCUAAGUCGGAUUCGACAUUGUCUAACAAAGAUACCACAGUGACAAACAGAAGUCCUGCUGCAGAUACCCUCAGAACUGAGGGAUCACAGUCAGACGCUAAGUCGGAUUCGACAUUGUCUAACAAAGAUACCACAGUGACAAACAGAAGUCCUGCUGCAGAUACCCUCAGAACUGAGGGAUCACAGUCAGACGCUAAGUCGGAUUCGACAUUGUCUAACAAAGAUACCACAGUGACAAACAGAAGUCCUGCUGCAGAUACCCUCAGAACUGAGGGAUCACAGUCAGACGCUAAGUCGGAUUCGACAUUGUCUAACAAAGAUACCACAGUGACAAACAGAAGUCCUGCUGCAGAUACGCUCAGAACUGAGGGAUCACAGUCAGACGCUAAGUCGGAUUCGACAUUGUCUAACAAAGAUACCACAGUGACAAACAGAAGUCCUGCUGCAGAUACCCUCAGAACUGAGGGAUCACAGUCAGACGCUAAGUCGGAUUCGACAUUGUCUAACAAAGAUACCACAGUGACAAACAGAAGUCCUGCUGCAGAUACCCCGAGGAGUGAGAAGCCACACACAGACCUCCAUCCGAAGAUUCCAGUCUUAUUCAUAUGUGCAAUGUCGAUAACCACGGGAUUCGCAGGCGGCAUACUGGGGACACUCGGCACCCUGUAUUUCGCCCCCGCCUUUGUCAACGUCUGGAACAGCAACAACUCCAUCCCGUCAGCGACUGUCGAAGUGGAUCCCGGGCUGCAUCGGAAGAUGAGCGCCAUGGGCACAGAUCUGGAACAGUGCUUGGCGCGAAACUUCGCAGACCAGGAAAGGAUUAAGUGGUUAGAGGCCAACAUCACGGUUAUACGUGACGACAUGUUUAGCAACUACUCCAACGUUGAGCUGAAAAGCUACAUCCUCGACGGUCGCUUGGAAGAACUCAGGAACAAGUUUUUGUCGAAGGAAUGGAUUUUCCUCAUCCUAUUGAUGGGGAUAUUUGAGGUCGCUGUGAUGGUUGCUGUGUGGAAGAUGUGGUCCAACUUCGGUGACAUCCUCGCCGCCAUGUUGGACCGCCGCGGGGGAGGGGCAAGGCGAGAGGCCCCUAAUGGGGGACCACUCCCUGAUAACGACAUCAUUCGGGGAGACGAGAAGACGUUGAACAGAGUGACACGCCGCCAUCUUGAGAACCGUAUGUGUGUGGUCGGCUUCCAUUCAGAGACCACCAACCAACACCACGCCAAAAUCCAGGCUGUCCUAUCUGAGAACAUUGCUGUCGAAAAUCACCACGUCAAAGGACACGAGCAAAUAUUAAACCUUCCACUUUGUAAAAUCUACUUUGUGUGUGUGGACUUUAAUGAACGACAUGUCAUCCUCGAGGACCCUACAAAGGGACUGGGGGAUCUCCGGCUUACAACGGUACAAGCUAUCCAGAAAAUGGGAGGAGAUGUCGUACUUAUAUACAGCAAAGAUGGCGGAUCCACGUCCCUUCCAUCCGGGGCAUUAUAUAACAGCAGCUUAACCUCGAUCAAGAAACACCCCGAUCUCCGUCGCCUAGACAACACCCAGCGCAUGCUCAGUGUGUUUGAGAAGUUCACCCCGUCACAGAUUGAUCAUAUUGUGAAGAUAGUGAAAGAACAUGGAAUGUAGCAGGUCUCUGUGUGGUCUCUGUGUGGUUCUCAAUGAAAACGGGUCUCAGAAAAGUCAACUCUUCACAACAAGCGGACCAGGAUCGGGAGAAAGCGAAACUAAGUCUUUUAGCAUUUAGGGGCCCAUCAUUUGAUAUUGGGAGUGGAGGGGCUGGAUUGUGGUCCCUUUCUUUUAGAUAUAACUAAAUGUAUGCCUUAAAGCUCUGACUGAAAUAACAACCCUUCAGUAUAUAAAAUGGUUGGUCACUUCGUAAUUUAUGAAAGUACACAGACUGUACUAAAAUACGGAUAAUUUACAUUCGAUUGAGCGGAUUAUCACCUGCCUGGUGUUUAGUUAGCCUCCAGAAAGUGUUAUGUAACUUAAAAGUGGACAUAAACGUAUUUAUUGGCUAUAACAUGUAGGUUUAAUUACCGCCUGCCAGGAGUACAGAAAGUGUUAUGUAGCUGGAAAGUGGACAUAAGCGAAGUCACUAUUUAUUUGCUAUUAAGUGUUUAGCUAUAACAUGUAGGUUUAAUUACCGCCUGCCAGGAGUACAGAAAGUGUUAUGUAGCUGGAAAGUGGACAUAAGCGAAGUCACUAUUUAUUUGCUGUUAAGUGUUUAGUUAUAACAUGUAGGUUUAAUUAUCACCUGCCUGCUGGAAGUGUUAUGUAACUUGAAAGUGGACAUAAUCGUAUUUAUUUGCUAUUAUGUGUUUAGAUAUAACGUGUUUAUUUUACCGCCUGUGUUUAGGCAAUUUGUGAUAAUGUAUUUCUCGGGCAGUGGAUCGCCCCAUCCUCGAUUAUCCGGAGUAUUAUAUCGGCCUUCUAUCACAAUAAAUACCCUGAAUCUGUUCACUACCAUAGCGUCCUUUAUAUCUCCAUUCUGAGCCAUUCAAACAUUACAAUGUAACACAUCAACGCCAGAGAAUAACCAGUCUCGAUUAUCCGGAGUAUUAUAUCGCCCUUCUAUCACAAUAAAUACCCUGAAUCUGUUCGCUA